ensembl:lncRNA
GGCGGAAGCGCGCGCAAGGCCCAGACGCCGCCGCGCGCAGCCACUGGCAACCGCGCCAUGGCAACCGGACGCCCGGGAGGAAUCUUAAAGCCGCAGCGCCUCCUUUCCCGUCGCCGCCCGUUCCCCAGGGGAAGGCGUCCUAUAGAGGAAGGUUCAGAGCGGGAGUCAGGACUUGGGGUCUGACUCGCACCCUCGUUCGUGUUUAUCGGAUGCGUAUCGGGCCUGCGAGGCCAAGCGCGGGCCAGACGCCGGGGAGGGGAACGGGCAGUGAUUAAAACAUGAACAAGAUCCUGCCAAGAAGAGUUCACAGUCUAGCGCGCAAGGCAGACCAGGCUGGCGAGCCCAAAACUGGAAUCAGCCCAGAUGUCCUCCGACAGGUGAAUGGUUAAAGAAGCUGUGGUGUAUCUAUACUGGAGAUAAAUGAAAGCAGUGAACCGUUGAUACCCACGAAAACUUGGAUGAUCUCCUGGGAAUUGUGCUGUGUGAAAAGACCCAAUCCUAAAAGGUUACGUGUUGUAUGUUUCAGUUCCUGAAGUGACAAAAUUUAGAAGAGGAGGACAGAGUAGUGGUACAAAAUAUUAAGCGGGGGUAGAGAAAUAGGUGUGAUUAUAAAAAUAAAACAUGAGGAAUCUUUGUGGUGCUGGGACUAUAGUGGUGGAUAUACAAACUUACACAGGUAAUAAAACAGCUUAGGACUUAAUAUACACAUACCCAGACAAGAACAAGAGAAACAUUUACAAGGCCGGUAGAUUGUAGCAAUGUCAAUAUUCUGGCUGUGAUAUCAUAAUAUGGCUUUGCAAACCGUUACCAUUCAGUGAAAGUGGGCAAGGUGCACAUGAGAUCACUGUAUUAUUUCUUAACAGCAGCAUGGGAAUCUAUACUUAUCUCAUUUUCUUACUAAAUGUUAUGACAAAUUAUUAAUGUCUCUGCUGGGUAUAGGGGAGAAGGAGCUGCCCAUGUGUUCCCAUUGUAGAAUUCCAAAGAGGAAGGUUAAUAAAUAUUAUUCUCAUUAUGGUACAUCAAUGAAAUGAUCAUAACCAUGGGGGGUAUUUGUAUCUAUUGACCCAAUAAUUCCACUUCUUGGAAUGUAUUAUUAACAAUGCAUGAAGCCAAGCAGGAUGCCCGCUUAUAAUCUCAGCUAUUCAUGAGGCUGAGGCAGGAAUAUUCAAAAUGUGAGGCCUGCCUGGGCAAUUUAGCAAGACUUUGUCUAAAUAAAUAAAUAAAUAAAUAAACAAACAAAUGUUAAAAACAGGCUGGGAAUAUAGCUCAGUGGAAGAGCGCCUGCCUAGUAUGUGCAAGGUCCAGGGUUCAAUCCCCAGUACCACACACACACAUAUACAGGGGGGAAAAAAGGGAAGAAAUUUUAUGUGUUUGGAUAUUCACUGCCAUAUUAUUUAUAGCAGUGAAAAGAUAUAAAUGAUUAAAAAUAGGUGAUGAGACAUAAAUCACAGUGUAUGUAGGUGAUAAAAUACUCUACGUAGACUUUAAAGAUGCUUUAAAAAAAUACACCCAGAAGGGCUGGGGAUUUAGCUCAGUGGUUCCAGCGCCUGCCUCGCAAAUGCAAGGUCCCAAGUUCGAUCCCCGGUACCCCCCCGCAAAAAAAAACACUCAGAGCCUGACAUGGUGGUACAAUCUGUAAUCCCUGCACUGGGGUGGCUGAGGCAGGAGGAUCUCUAUGAGUUCAAGGCUAGUUUGGGAUACACAGUGAGUUCAAGGCUGGCCUCGACUACAUAGUGAGACCCUGUGUCACCCCAUCUUCCCAAAACCCAAAACCAAAACAAACAAAAAACACAAAAUCAACCCAAAAACAACAAAUUUAAAAAAUCACCCAGUACAAUGCUGGUACAUAGUAGACACCCAAUAAAUGCAGUUCUCUUUUCUUCCUGGAUUGCUCUGGAUAUCAAAAGAGCUAAUAUAGGGGCUGGAGAUGUAGCUCAGUGGUUCCACUGCCUGCUUUGCAAGCACAGGGUCCUGAGUUUGAUCCCCAGUACCAAAAAAAGAGCUAAUGUAGGUCAAUGUACUUGGCAAACUGUAAAGUGCCUGGAGAAAGCUAGUUGUUGCUAUCCUUCUUAGGGCUGCCAGGUACAAGAGUGGCUAAGAGGUGGCAUGGGACCAUAGCUUCUUUCCUGGCUAGGGAGGCACGGGAAUGGGGGAACUGACUCCUUGGGGAAUCUGGGUCCUUUCUAGGGCACUGCCACUCUAGUCCACGCCAUGAAGAAAACAACGAACAUUCUCCUGGCAAGUGGGGGGCAUCACAGAGUGUGGAACCACGUGGGCCCUGCUGGCUCUGCAGUAACAGUGCUCUACUGCAUUGCGUGCCCACUGUCGGGCACUGUCCUGGGUGCUUUACACAUGUGUGUGCAGAUUCUCACAACCACCCAAGGGGAGCUGUUCACCUGCACAUCACAGAUAAGGACACUCAGGCUCAAAGGGGCCAAGUGACUUACCAAGGCAGCUGGCGAGUGGCAGGGCUGGCACUGGAACCUGGCCCUCUGCUGGGUUAAUCCGUGAUCUGAGCACCACAGGUAUGAUAUUUUGAUGGCGUGAGGAGGUGUGCUGUGUGGAGACUGAGGCAGCCCGCAGAAGGAAGCACGUUCUCCGGCGUUCCCUGUACAUGUAGGACUCCAAUCCCUUGUAGGCAGAAGACAGACCUCUGGAGAGAAGUAGGCCCACUCUGGUCUUUCAUCCUAGAGGAAGUUUUCUCGUGUGUUUAACCUCCAUCUUGCCUGCUGACGUCCAGUCUCUUUUCUCCCUUUGCUUCCAGUGAGGAUGGGGAGCUGAUGGCCUGGUUCCUCCUGACUUCUCCAUGAAUGGUUCCAGGGACUUCUAUUUUCCCAGCUCCUCGGAGGACAUGAUGAGGGUGCUUCAGCCCCUUUGGCCUCUGUCCAAGGUACCAAACCAAAAGACACACAGGAGAGAUGGAGCAGGAAGGACAGGCAGACCAAGGCCAGCUUGCAGAUGAGCCCAGGAGUCUCCUGGGACCUGGGUGCCAUCUCAGACUCAGGAUACAGUGGGCUUCCGGUCUGAUGUCUACCCAGACGUGGAGGUCUGGCCAGUAUCUGGCCAGACAUCUCUAGAGUUGCCUCUCUCAGACAGAAAAGAGGGGCUAAGGGUUCUGCUACUUGGGUUUUCCACUUCCACUUCAGUGCUACCUGGCUCCAUCGCUCUGGUUCAGCUAAUGCAGCUGGGGGCUUAGGGUUGCCCAGGGAAGAGAAAGGUCUUGUCAGGAGGAUGUCGGGACCCUGAGGCUAGGGCCAAAAGAACUCUUCCCAGAUCUCAAGAGCAGGUCAAGAGCUCUUUCCUCUCCUCUCUUCUUGUGAGGACCAGGAGGGCAACUGGGGCCUGAGCCUGGGCACACAGGGUGGAGGGGGACGUGUCAUUCCUCCCUCUCUCUCCCACACAUUGUUCAACUCUGCUGGGGCCCAAGUAUGCCCACUGCUCAGCCUGGCUUCCUGGCCCAUCCACCGACGGACAGGAGAGGGUUAAAGGCAUGGUAUGGACAAGCUAUAAAUUUCCCAUCAGUGUAGGGAGAGCAGGAUUGUUGGCAGGGAGGGGGCUGGGCUGGGGGGAGGGGAGCUGGGAAAAAGCCAGGAGGUUGUCUCUAGGUAACAAUAAACACUGCAAGCAAGGAGCAGCUGUUACACUUACUCUCUCUGCAUCACAAUGCUGAAAUAACACUAAUAAACCAGUGUGCCCAAUGCACAGGCACACAUGCAUUCAGGGCUGGGGCCCCAGUGCACACCUAGGCUGCCCUCUGCUCCGAGGCAGGGCCCCAGUGCCAGUGCACACACCAGUCUAGGCCUGGGCAUACGUGUAGCCAGGAUGAGGACAGAUGAGUCUUUGCCAGUCCCCAGGCAUCCGCAGGGUUGGGGAGGCAGCAGAAUCUGGGCGGCUGGGUUCAGAUCCUGAUGGCAGUCUCUGGUGCAAAGGCCUCAAAAGCAGGAGGCUCUCAGCAGGGAGCCAGGAAGAGCUGAAGAAAGUGUGAGAGAAAAGUGCAGGGAAGAGACACGUACUUACUGUGUCCUCUCAGUCUGGAGGGUUGAGAUGGCCAGGAGCAGACGUGGCCAGGAAAGGAGUUUGCUAAUGAGAGGUCAAAAAGGGAGAGGGAGAGGAGACUGAGGAGGAGGGUCAGGAGCAUGUGGCAGAGAAGAGCGAUUCUUACCUUGCUCCUGGGGCUCAGUGCCCCACACCUGCCCACGACCCGCCUGGUGCACCCAGGCCCCUCACAGCGCAGCUUUCACACCCAGAGCGCAGGGCUGUGCUGGGAGUCAGGACCAAGCUUUGUCACAGGCUCCCUAGGCUUCUGGUGCUGCCUCGGAGGAGGGGAGGGUCCAGGGCCGACCUGCUGCCCUGGGUGAAGUGUGGGUGGUCUCUUUUCCAAGCAAAGCUGUUGCUGGAUCAUUAGGAGAAGCUGGGCAUUGGGCCCCUCACCCCAGCUGCAGGAGGAGCUGCCAGUGACAGAAAGGACAGAAACGGGCAAAUGAGAACUCAGGCUGUCACAGACCCCCUUCCUCUUGGUCCAUCCUACUGAGCCAGAGAUCGGGGUCUUUAUUUCAGGUACCCAGGCCCCUGGGACUACAGUCAGGGGCAUGAAUGGUUUUCCUGACCCACCUGGUGUGACCUCCAGCGCAGCCUCCUGUCACCCCGAUCCAGAGAGGAUGGAGAAGGCGCAUCUGCCCACCUGGCCUGUGAAUGGGGAGGGCAUUAGUGCUUUCAAACACCUGUGGUUCUGCACCAUUCCCAGCCUGCCCAGGCCUUUCAGCCAGCCCCAGCCCCUUGCUGCUCCUCUCUGGUCCCAGGUACCUGCUCUAGGGUGGACAGCACCGAGAGUGCUGAGGACCACACUCCGGGCCUUGGCCAUGCCGCUUCUAAGACUCGAGGGUCCGAGAUGUGAGACGUCAGCCGGUGGCCGAUAAGAUCCUGCUUGCCCUCCUCAUCUGACUUUCCUCCCUCCACACCUACAUGCUUCUCCUUUUCCUAUUUCCAGGAACUUUCCAAAUGCAGGAACACAGAGCAACUGCAGGACAGGAUUCCACCAAAUUCCCCUCUCUGGCUCUUGGUUUCCACAUCUGUAAAGUAAAGGGUCGGGCAAGAUGAACGCCACGUUGGCUUCCUUGCAGCAGUGAGGUUCCAUGGUCCAGACCCCAAGGCACCACACUCAUUUGUACAUAACCUCCAGGACACUUUCUUCACGUCAGGACAGAGGAACCACUCUGCUCUCAACUCUGCCCUCCAGUCACCUCACCAGUCUUUGGGUCCAUGGCCCCUCGCGCUUGUCCCUCUUUCUUCAGGAACCUCAGACCUCCGUUCCCAACUUCCUUUCACAAGUUUACCACAUUCCUUGGGCUAAGCCGACUGGACAAAACACCAAGAAACCACCUUACCUACUACCCUGGCUGUGAUUUCGGGCUCCAGGCCCAAGUCAACUGCUUUGGGAGGUCCUGGCCACUGGAGGAAAUGCUGGCACCUCUCCCCAGCACCUCCCCUGCUCCUCCACCUCACUGUUCUCCAUGCCAGCACGAAAAGUGGCCAGUGAUUGAUGGGCCUGGGUUCCCGGUAACCGCACCCAGUGGCCCAAUCCUCCUCCCUUCCUCAAUCCCUCCCCUGCCCCUAUUCAGAGCUCAGAUUGUCUCAUGUUGGUCCCUGAGGUCCCAUUAAUUAAAAAUACAUCCAAUUAAAUGGCAGGUGAAAACGUGCUGCUGGAGCUCCACCCCCCACCCCAGCUUGGUCUCUCCGCUCCCCCUGCCCAAGGCUCAGCUGUGCUUUGGCUGAGAAAAGAGAGGGGGGAGAGAAGGGAAGAGAGUAGAGGAAGACAUAGGGGUAGGAGGAUGGCAGGGGGCUACUUGAACCUCUGCCAGGGUAGCAUGUGCCAGCCUGGGAGGGUGGCACUGUGCCCUGGGGUCUAAUUUCUGGAGGUGUGAGUAGUUCAGUCAGCUGGGUACCCACCUCCAUUUCCCUUAAAGAGGCAGAGGGCAGCCAGGGGGUGGCUAACUGUGCUGCCUACUUCUGCGUUUGGUGGCACGAGCGUAAAUGGUAGCAGGGCCUUCGGAGGGGUGUGCUGUUCAGAGGUCAGGGGCAUCUCAGACCUCCAUCCUGGCCAUAUCUCUGCUCUUCCCCAAACUGCGAAGAAGAUAAUGAGGAGCCAAUGGGGACCCAGGUGGCAGGACACGGCAACGCUCCUGAGCCUGGCUGGGGCUGCUCUUGCCUACAGGAAACCAAGAGACAGAUGCAGGGAGUGAGAAAGAAAGGAGCCAUGACUUGGGCAAGGGCAGACGGGUCAGAUAGAGUAGAAUAUUACAGAAAUGGGUAUUCACGUGGGCACCAUGCCCCCGAGCACUGUAUAGGCAAGAGGGCUUGGAGGCCCUCGUCCUGUUUGCCCUUGGUCUCUGCGGA